rnacentral:miRNA from 1 species
UAUUAAGUUGGUGCAAAAGUAAUUGCGGUUUUUGCCAUAAAAGUGAUGACAAAAAUCGCAAUUACUUUUGCACCAAC